UUUUCAAUCAUCUCCCAUUGAAAGCUGAAUCAUGAGGAUACCAUCUCCAAGCAGGUGGAGUAUUUGAUCCCUUUAGCAAGGCAGUGAUUUUGAAAUUCGGGUUUAGACAAAAAGAUAUUUCAAGCUCCUGAAGAACAAGUUUGAAGGAUUCAGAGCAGAGAAUUGCACCCUGGCAUGAUGCCUAUGCCAGCUGGACUGUGUGAUUUUUGUUCUUUAGUAGAAGGAUAACAUGACAUAGCAGGAAUAAUACUGCCUUUUCUUUCUGGCAUGGAUCAAGAGAAAAGAAAAUACAAGAAAACAGACAGAAGCAAGGCAAGGUACUUCUAUGGAAGGGUGAGCCCUCACAGAUGGAGCAAUGGGGCGCGCACACCUGAACAAGGGAGGGGAAGGAGUUCUUAUCCCUGAUGCAUGUGACCCCUGCUGCUGUGUCCUUCCCCUAUUGGCUAAGGUUAGACCACACAGCCUAAACUAAUUCCGAUUGGCUAAUUCAAAGAGAGCGACGGGGGUGAGUGCUUUGGCGGGAAAAAAAUGGUUACACAGGGUGGAGAAUAAUGAGACAGGGUGGAGCAGGUAGCAGGUAACCGGAAUGAGUUAUGGUGGAGCAGGUGAUCAGGUGAUCGGAAUGAGUCACGGUGGAGUAGGUAAUCGAAAAAGGUUGCUUUACGAGGAAGUAAAGUUUAAAAGUAGAAGGCAAAAAAUUGCACAUACUGACAUAUUAAUUCUUUGAAGAGAAAUUUAGAAUUCAUAUUUAACACUGCAACCUCCAUCUCCCGGGUGCAAGCGAUUCUGCUGCCUCAGCCUCCCGAGUAGCUGGGACUACAGGCGCCCUGCCACAAAGCCCAGCUAAUUUUUUGCAUUUUUAGUAGAGGCGGGGUUUCACCAUUUUAGCCAGGAUGGUCUCGAUCUCUCGUAGCAGGUUGUUAACGUUAAGUUAUUGUAAACCACGGAGAUACUCAAAUUUGUCAAUCAUGUUUCUGACUGUAACUAUUUUAGACAUUUUGUUAUCCACAGAAAAUUGUUGUCUUAUUUUUAUCCUCUUUAAAAGAUGAUUUAUAAUCAGCUAUAUAAUUUUGACACGUGCUCUCAAACGCAGGCUUCUGACAGCUUUGGAGAUUGUGACAUUGGAAUAAAGGAAAAACGUACAGGACUCAUGAAGCGCUGAAAUGUUCACAAAUAUCAAGCAAAAGUCAAUGAAAUUUAUUUUGAGCUAUUUACAUCAUUUAAUAAUUGAGCAAGGUAUACUCCUAUGAACAAAAUUUGGAGCAUGUUUGUCUCUCUCUGCCUGGCGUCUUCAGAAUUUGGAAACUAGUUAGUCAUGGAAAUUUAUUUUGAGCUAUUUACAGCAUUUAAUAAUUGAGCAAGGUAUACUCCUAUGAACAAAAUUUGGAGCAUGUUUGUCUCUCUCUGUCUGCCUGGCAUCUACAGAAUUUGGAAACUAGUUUCGUUCCCAGAUUUCCUAAACUUUCCAGAGAAAAUGGUCUUCUCCCUGGCUCAGCAAGAAGAUGAACUUUAAACACUGAGAAACUGGUCAUCUCCCUGGCUCAACCAGAAGAUGAACUUUAAACACUACUCUCAAUGACUUGAUGUUCCCAUCACUACUCCUGUCAUAAAGGGAGGGGACUCAGAUAUUGAGAAUUUUAUGAUAGUGUGAACUGUCUGGUAUGUCAUUUAAGUAAGCCCGUUGCUGAAAUAUUUUCCAUGUUAUUAGAAAGAGCUGAAGAGAGGGAUUGAGAUGGCUUCUUUAUUUUUUGUCUUUUGGGAAUUAAAGGAACCUGGUUCAACAAGGGCCUACACCUAAGUCUCUUGUUGUACCAGAGUACAAUUUAGGACUGCUCCUGAGGAAGGAAUUAGCUAGAAAUCUAGAGAGUAAGGGUAACAGAUUUACAUAGAAUAACAGCCUCAGUAUUUUUGGUUCCUCUCCAGUAAAGAUCACAAAGAAUAUUGCUAAAUCGCUAAAACACCUUUGCAAUAACGUAAGGGCUUACAACUAUAUACCAAUGUAGCUCAGUUACUAAACUGGAGUAAACUAAUUUCUCUUGUGUAGAAAAAUUGGUUGGCUGUGGUUUUAUAGCAGAUCUGCAAUUAUUAAUAGUUAUGCCAAUAAUCGUUUAACAGUGCAUAUGUUAAUAUAUAUGGAAAGACAAUGUGUAUAGACAGAUGUGUAAAAUUGAAAAAUAAACAUAUAACAAGAGAGAAACAUCUAUCGAACAGACAAUAUACAUACACAUCAAACACAACAGCAGUUUUAGUGACCAUAAUAUUUAUUUCUCAUUUUUACAUUGCUUACUUUAGUGACAACUGAAAAUGACAGUUGGCAAUGCAGCUAACAGUUUCAAUAAAAGUAUAAAACAAAAGACUGUGUACAAAGCACCUGUCUUUCCGCUUUUGUAAUCUUCCGUUGGAAAAAAUUUACACACCUAAGUAACCAUCUGUUUUCUUCAAGAAAAAAUCAUUCUUAUUUCUCUCUCUCAUCUUGAAAACAGCUGUCAGCCAGGAGGGCAGAGCUGAAAUUUAUUGCCACAUCACAUGAAGCAUAGAACAGACUCCACUACUCCUUGAGAUUCAAAACUUUGCCUCUCACAAAGUUACCUUUUAUUUUCCUCUUGUUUGUCACUCAUCUC
rnacentral:lncRNA from 1 species